GUGCCAGCCGCCGCGGUAACACCGGCAGCCCAAGUGAUGGCCGAUAUUAUUGGGCCUAAAGCGUCCGUAGCUGGCCGCACAAGUCCGUCGGGAAAUCCACUCGCUUAACGAGUGGGCGUCCGGCGGAAACUGUGCGGCUUGGGACCGGAAGGCUCGAAGGGUACGUUCGGGGUAGGAGUGAAAUCCUAUAAUCCCGCACGGACCACCGAUGGCGAAAGCACUUCGAGAAAACGGAUCCGACAGUGAGGGACGAAAGCCAGGGUCUCCAACCGGAUUAGAUACCCGAGUAGUCC
rnacentral:rRNA from 1 species